GAUUUCAACUGAAAAAGUUAUCAACAAUAAAAUUGUAUAGCUUAUUAAUAUCUAUAACUUUUAUUUUGGUCAUUUCUUUAUCCGACAAAGUGAUAUUAAUAUUGUUCACAAAUUUUACAUAUGUCUCUUAUAGUUUAUGAAACCAUAUGGGAGAUGUGUAAAUUUUGUGAACAAUGUUACUAUCACUUUAUUGGAUGAAGAAAUGGCUAAAACAAAAGUUAUAGAUAUUGAUAAGUUAUACAACUUUGUUGUUGAUGAUAUUUUCAGUUGAAAUC
rnacentral:pre_miRNA from 2 species